UACGAAGGGAGCGAGCGUUGUUCGGAAUCACUGGGCUUAAAGCGUGCGUAGGCGGAUCUGUAAGUCAGAAGUGAAAUCCCGGGGCCUAACCCCGGAACUGCUUUUGAGACUGCAAGUCUAGAAUUCGGUAGAGGUUAGUGGAAUAUCCAGUGUAGAGGUGAAAUUCGCAGAUAUUGGAUGGAACACCAGUGGCGAAGGCGACUAACUGGGCCGACAUUGACGCUGAGGCACGAAAGCGUGGGUAGCAAACAGG
rnacentral:rRNA from 1 species